rnacentral:tRNA from 1 species
GUAGUGGUGGUUCAGUGGUGGAAUUCUCUCCUUCUAUGCGGGAGACCCAGGUUCGAUUCCCGGCUAAUGCG